ACUUGCCCAAAAGCGCACCAGCAGGCAAAGGCAGGAAAACCAGCUAGAAGCCCAGGUUGCCUGAAAAUGCCCUAUCAGGAAGCCGGAACUAUUUUCCAGAGUCAAGGUGUUGCCAUGGUAGAUAAUGGAGGUAAUGAAGAAAAGGUGAAGUUAAUGGCAAACCAGGGAUAGAAGCCCCGGAGGGUGUCGUGAUAAUGCAGCAGCCUGGCCCAUAGGCUAAACACUCAGCACCUGGGAAAUCUCGGGCGAGCCUUCUGGGUGAGGAGAGACGCUUGGCCCUGUUGCCCCAAUGGGCGACCUCCAGGAACAGAAGGGCCCGGGUGACCUGUCGCUGACCACAGCUACACGAGAGAACCCAGCUGCCACCGUGCCCAGCCUACAGAGCAAACCCAAAGAACCGUGAGAUUUUGUUUUUAGGUCCUCUCCACGCUAAACACGGGGCUCAAACUCACAACCCCAAGAUCAAGAGUCGUACGCUCCACCGACUGAGGCAGCCAAGGUGCCCCGAGAACCACUACUCUGAAGUCACCUGUGAAGUUUCGCUAUCCGCGGUCCGGGUUACCCAAAGUCAACUACGCUCUGGAAGCAGAUCCUCCUCCUUCUGAUCCAUCGGCAGAAGGUCAACAGUAGCCUAAGACUGCGUCCCAGCGCCCGCGACAUUCACCUGGCUUCAUCGCCUCACGCAGUUGUUUUAUUAUGUCACCUCAUCACAAGG